rnacentral:rRNA from 1 species
GAUGAACGCUGGCGGCGUGCUUAACACAUGCAAGUCGAACGAUGAAGCUCAGCUUGCUGGGUGGAUUAGUGGCGAACGGGUGAGUAACACGUGAGUAACCUGCCCUUAACUCUGGGAUAAGCCUGGGAAACUAGGUCUAAUACCGGAUAGGAGCGCCUACCGCAUGGUGGGGGGUGGAAAGAUUUAUCGGUUUUGGAUGGACUCGCGGCCUAUCAGCUUGUUGGUGAGGUAAUGGCUCACCAAGGCGACGACGGGUAGCCGGCCUGAGAGGGUGACCGGCCACACUGGGACUGAGACACGGCCCAGACUCCUACGGGAGGCAGCAGUGGGGAAUAUUGCACAAUGGGCGAAAGCCUGAUGCAGCGACGCCGCGUGAGGGAUGACGGCCUUCGGGUUGUAAACCUCUUUCAGUAGGGAAGAAGCGAAAGUGACGGUAACUGCAGAAGAAGCACCGGCUAACUACGUG